rnacentral:misc_RNA from 1 species
GAUGAAGAACGUAGCGAAAUGCGAUAAGUAGUGUGAAUUGCAGAAUUCAGUGAAUCAUCGAAUCUUUGAACGCACAUUGCGCCCUUUGGUAUUCCUUAGGGCAUGCCUGUUCGAGCGUCAUUAUAACCCCUCAAGCUCAGCUUGGUGUUGGGGCCUGCUGCACUGGCAGCCCUUAAAAUCAGUGGCGGCGCCAUCUGGCUCUAAGCGUAGUAAUUCUUCUCGCUAUGGAGUCCUGGUGGAUGCUUGCCAUCAACCCCCAAUUUUUCUAUGGUUGACCUCGGAUCAGGUAGGGAUACCCGCUGAACUUAAGCAUAUCAAUAAGCGGAGGA